GACGAACGCUGGCGGCGUGCUUAACACAUGCAAGUCGAACGGUGAAGCGCCUUCCUUUUUGGUGGGUGUGGAUGAGUGGCGAACGGGUGAGUAACACGUGAGUAACCUGCCCCCUUCUUCUGGAUAACCGCAUGAAAGUGUGGCUAAUACGGGAUAUUCUGGGUCUGUCGCAUGAUGGGUCUGGGAAAGAUCUUGUUUCGGUGGGGGAUGGGCUCGCGGCCUAUCAGCUUGUUGGUGGGGUGAUGGCCUACCAAGGCGGUGACGGGUAGCCGGCCUGAGAGGGGGGACGGUCACACUGGGGCUGGGACACGGCCCAGACUCCUACGGGAGGCAGCAGUGGGGAAUAUUGCACAAUGGGCGCAAGCCUGAUGCAGCGACGCCGCGUGAGGGAUGGAGGCCUUCGGGUUGUGAACCUCUUUCGCCAGUGAAGCAGGCCUGCCUCGUUUGUGGGUGGGUUGACGGUAGCUGGAUAAGAAGCGCCGGCUAACUACGUG
rnacentral:rRNA from 1 species